GACGAACGCUGGCGGCGUGCUUAACACAUGCAAGUCGAACGAUGAAGCCGGAGCUUGCUCUGGUGAAUUAGUGGCGAACGGGUGAGUAACACGUGAGUAACCUGCCCUUGACUCUGGGAUAACUGCGGGAAACUGUAGCUAAUACCGGAUACGACCCUCGGAGGCAUCUCCUGGGGGUGGAAAGAAUUUCGGUCAAGGAUGGACUCGCGGCCUAUCAGCUAGUUGGUGAGGUAAAGGCUCACCAAGGCGACGACGGGUAGCCGGCCUGAGAGGGUGAACGGCCACACUGGGACUGAGACACGGCCCAGACUCCUACGGGAGGCAGCAGUGGGGAAUAUUGCACAAUGGGCGCAAGCCUGAUACAGCAACGCCGCGUGAGGGAUGACGGCCUUCGGGUUGUGAACCUCUUUUAGCAGGGAAGAAGCGAAAGUGACGGUACCUGCAGAAAAAGCACCGGCUAACUACGUGCCAGCCGCCGCCGUAA
rnacentral:rRNA from 1 species